AUGGCUGAGGGCAGCAGGUGGUCAUCCAGUGCUGACCCGGUGACCGGUCCAGAGCCCGUGGCUGCAGAGGCACCAGCCCUGGAGGAGAGGGACCCAUACGAGGCAUCUACCUCCUCUCUUGCAGCUUCCACCACAGCCCCAUCAGUCUUCCCGCUGGCCCCCGGCUGUCAGACCACAUCUGGCCCCACAGUGGCCCUGGCCUGCUUGGUCUCUGGCUACUUCCCAGAACCAGUGACCGUGUCCUGGAACUCAGGCGCCCUGACCAGCGGCGUGCACACCUUCCCGUCCGUCCUGCGGUCCUCGGGGCUCUACUCCCUCAGCAGCACGGUGACCGUGCCUGCCAGCAGCUGGCCGAGCCAGACCUUCAUCUGCAACGUAGCCCACCCAGCCAGCAGCACCAAGGUGGACAAGAGAGUCGAUCAGCCCACUCCACCCAAGCAGGAUGAUCAGCCAGACUGCCCCAAGUGUCCCAAAUGCACAGCUCCUGAACUCCCGGGUGGGCCUUCGGUCUUCAUCUUCCCCCCGAAAAUCCAGGACACCCUCACGAUCUCCCGGACGCCCGAGGUCACCUGCGUGGUGGUAGACGUGAUCCAGGACAACCCCGAUGUCCAGUUCACCUGGUACGUGGAUGGCACAGAGGUGAGCAGGGCCACGACGAAGCCGAAGGAGGAGCAGUUCAACAGCACCUACCGCGUGGUCAGCGUCCUCCCCAUCCAGCACCAGGACUGGCUGAAGGGAAAGGAGUUCAAGUGUAAGGUCAACAACAGAGCCCUCCCAGCCCCCAUUGAGAGGACCAUCUCCAAGGCCAAAGGGCAGGCCCGGAAGCCGCAGGUGUACGUGCUGCCCCCACACCGGGAGGAGCUGGCUGAGAGCACGGUCAGCGUCACCUGCCUGGUCAAAGACUUCUACCCACCUGACAUCGACGUCGAGUGGCAGAGCAACAAGCAGACAGAGCCGGAGGACAAGUACAGCACCACCCCACCCCAGCAGGAGGGCGAGGGGUCCUACUUCCUGUACAGCAAGCUCUCGGUGGAGACAAACAGGUGGAAGCAGGGAGACGUGUUCACGUGUGGGGUGAUGCACGAGGCUCUCCACAAACAGUACACGCAGAAAUCCACCUCCCAGUCUCCGGAGGUGGUCCUGGACGAGAGCUGUGUCGAGACCCAGGACGGGGAGCUGGACGGGCUGUGGACCACCAUCUCCAUCUUCAUCAUGCUCUUCCUGCUCAGCGUGUGCUACAGCGCCACCGUCACCCUCUUCAAGGUGAAGUGGAUCUUCUCCUCGGUGGUGGAACUGAAGGAGACGAUGGUCCCCAACUAUGGGAACAUGAUCGGGCAGGGGGCCUAG